GCUGCUGGGAAUGCGCAGUUCGCUGCAGGUCCGGACAUAUUGACGCCGCUUUCGAGAAACAAGGACCGGAGUCUUUGCAUAAAAAGCGCGUGUGUUCCGAUCACUUUCAAGAGACCGACUGCAACCCAAACUUGAGAAGUCAGGGACUAAAAAAAGGAAGCGUGCCACCAGAAGCCUGCCGUCCCAAUCUGAACGGUUAGACACUAUUUAAGGCGAUAAUCCUGGGAAUGUCAAAUGUGGCCCCAAAACAACCCUGUCGAGCCUGACCACCUUAACACGAUCUGCCGAGCCUGACGUGGACAUGCUGCCACCAACCAUGUUCAACGAAG